GCCGCCGGCCGGGUUGCAGGCGGGGCACCUCGGGCAGGACCUCCCUGGUCAGAAGUGGCCGUGAGCCCGAGCCGCGGUCCCGGGUGAGUACGGGGCGGGGCGGAGGCAUGUGCGAGGCUCUCUGCCUGUGCCCUGGAAGGUGGGGAUUGUAACUCGCGGAGGGAUGGAGCACGCGUCGUCGCCUGGGAAACGGAUCGACCCGCGGAAGGCGAGCGGGUGGGACUUCCGGAGCAGUUAAUGGCCGGCACCCAGGAUGGGCGAGGUGGAGGCCCCAGGCCGUUUGUGGCUCGAGAGCCCCCCUGGGGGAGCGCCCCCUAUCUUCCUGCCCUCGGACGGGCAAGCUCUGGUCCUGGGCAGGGGACCCCUGACCCAGGUCACGGACCGGAAGUGCUCCAGAACUCAAGCCUGCAGCAGGCCACACUCCCCAGAAAUGAGGGAACCAAUCACACAAGGAUGCAAAUCCUGACUCCACCCCUCCAAUCCUCAGUGGAGCUGGUCGCAGAUCCUGAAACCCGGACAGUGGCAGUGAAACAGCUGGGAGUUAACCCCUCAACUGCCGGGACCCAGGAGUUGAAGCCGGGGUUGGAGGGCUCUCUGGGGGUGGGGGACACACUGUAUUUGGUCAAUGGCCUCCACCCACUGACCCUGCGCUGGGAAGAGACCCGCACACCAGAAUCCCAGCCAGAUACUCCGCCUGGCACCCCUCCGGUGUCCCAAGAGGAGAAGAGAGAUGCUGAGCUGCCGAAGAAGCGUAUGCGGAAGUCAAACCCCGGCUGGGAGAACUUGGAGAAGUUGCUAGUGUUCACCGCAGCUGGGGUGAAACCCCAGAGCAAGGUGGCUGGCUUUGAUCUGGACGGGACCCUCAUCACCACACGCUCUGGGAAGGUCUUUCCCACUGGCCCCAGUGACUGGAGGAUCUUGUACCCAGAGAUUCCCCGUAAGCUCCGAGAGCUGGAAGCCGAGGGCUACAAGCUGGUGAUCUUCACCAACCAGAUGAGCAUCGGGCGCGGGAAGCUGCCAGCCGAGGAGUUCAAGGCCAAGGUGGAGGCUGUGGUGGUGAAGCUGGGGGUCCCCUUCCAGGUGCUGGUGGCCACGCACGCAGGCUUGUACCGGAAGCCGGUGACAGGCAUGUGGGACCAUCUGCAGGAGCAGGCCAACGAGGGCGCGCCCAUCUCCAUCGGGGACAGCAUCUUUGUGGGAGACGCAGCCGGACGCCCGGCCAACUGGGCCCCAGGGCGGAAGAAGAAAGACUUCUCCUGCGCAGAUCGCCUGUUUGCCCUCAACCUUGGCCUGCCCUUCGCCACGCCUGAGGAGUUCUUUCUGAAGUGGCCAGCAGCCGGCUUCGAGCUCCCAGCCUUUGAUCCGAGAACUGUCUCCCGCUCAGGGCCUCUCUGCCUCCCCGAGUCCAGGGCCCUCCUGAGCGCUAGCCCGGAGGUGGUUGUCGCAGUGGGAUUCCCUGGGGCCGGGAAGUCCACCUUUCUCAAGAAGCACCUCGUGUCUGCCGGAUAUGUCCAUGUGAACAGGGACACGCUAGGCUCCUGGCAGCGCUGUGUGACCACGUGUGAGACAGCCCUGAAGCAAGGGAAACGGGUCGCCAUUGACAACACCAACCCGGACGCCGCGAGCCGCGGCAGGUACGUCCAGUGUGCCCGAGCCGCGGGUGUCCCCUGCCGCUGCUUCCUCUUCACCGCCACUCUGGAGCAGGCGCGCCACAACAACCGGUUUCGAGAGAUGACGGACUCCUCUCAUGUCCCCGUGUCAGACAUGGUCAUGUAUGGCUACAGGUACUGUUGGGGAUACCAGGGGGCAGGGCACUGGCUGGGCCACGAGCCAGACUGUCCCUCACUGUUCCCACCACUGCCAGGAAGCAGUUCGAGGCCCCAACGCUGGCCGAAGGCUUCUCUGCCAUCCUGGAGAUCCCGUUCCGGCUAUGGGUGGAGCCGAGGCUGGGGCGGCUGUACCGCCAGUUCUCCGAGGGCUGAGCCCCGCCCAGCUCCCCUCCACAAUAAAUGCUGUUUCUCUUUGAGCUUGGCCGGCAUUUUGCUGGAAGGAGGGUGGUCCCCAUGGGAAAGGGGCUCCAGGCCUGCCACACUUUCUUACAUGGAUAGAGGCUUUAAGAACAUUUUCAGGUAACAAAAGGUGGGGCCCCUACAGAGGGGAGUCCAGCUUUGCUGGGACCUGGCAUGAGCACUUUAGACAUUAGCCGGGGAACGCACAGGGAGGGCACUGUGUGGCCCCAAGAGCCAGCUGGUGAGCCCACGAGCCCCAACCGAGGGGCUGGCUCAAGGCCAGGUGUGACCCCUGAGGACAAAAUCCAGCUCAGGUUCUGUGACACUGAACUUGAACUCAAGGCCUGUGGGUCUGGAGAUUGGGGAGGGAAGAGGGUGUGGGCAGCCGAGAGCCAAACCCAGUGAGUUCCCGGGCUGUCCAGCCUGCUGGGCCACCUUACAGCUAGGGGACUGCCAGGCAUGGGGCAGUGAGCAGAGGGAGCAGGCAGGUUUUUAAAAGGCUUUAUUGGGGAAACGUAGAGGGGUGGGGACCGUCCUUGGAGGCCUCAGGACACCAUCCUCCAUGUUGCUGGGCAGUUGAAGUCCCCAGGGGCCCCUGCUCAGAAGCGUGUCACCUGGGGGCAGGGGUGCAGUGGGGGCUGCUGGCCACAGGCUCCCAAACACUGACCCUACAUCCCUGUGAGCAGAGGCCUGGCCCCACCCAGGCCUGGACACCACCUCCCACGGCCCUAUGGCCGGGCUGCAGUUUCCCAACAGCCUAGGACUGCUGGGACCGCUGCCUCUCCCUCUGCUCUGCUCUCCCGAAGGCCAAGGUUGCCCUGCUUCUUUCCCAACCCCACCCCCCACAUGCCCCAGGGUCCCUCCUGUACAUGACAGGGUCACCACUCACCAGUCUCUGCGGGGGCCUCAUCUGUGACUCCUGGAGAGGCCCAGCCUGGGGUAGCCACUACCCCCCCAUCUGUGGGGAGAAAUCGAAGGCCAGUGGUGAGCAGGCAGGGGGGUGGAGGGAGGCUGAGCAGCCCUGGAGCCCGGCCACCUCACCCCUCGUUGCUGCUGCUCCUGCUCCAGGUUCCGCUGCAGGACCUGCUGCUGGUUGGCAAUGACACGCCGGAUGCCGUUGACAAAGUUGCCCUGGUCAUGGGGGAUGAGGCCGAUGAAGAUUUUCUUCUCUGAAGAGUACAGGAGCAUAAGCACGCGGAUCUCACACGAUGCUUUGUAGGAAAAGUGCACGCAGCCGGCCUGGCAGGCAGAGGGCGUGGUGUCACCAGACAGCACCACAGGGACUCAGGCUGCAGGGACCAGCAUCCCUCCAACCAUGGCACCAUGCCAUGGGCUCCAUGAGCCAGGCACAGCCUAAUUGCUCUGUCCUCACCCACCCCAGAGGUGGGCCCCCUUAUUAGGAUGACACGGUGGCCAAGAGCAAUGGGUGGGCCAAAGACCAACAGGCUCUGUCGGGAAGGGCCCAAGAACCUGCAUUUCGGAGCUCCUGGGCAGGCCAGGCUGUGUCUGGGGCCACCUCACCACAGCCACCUGAGCCAGCCGGCCACAGCUUCAACUCAGGAGCCCGAGGGAUCUGCAGUGGCCGGCCCAGCACAAGCAAGGGCUGAGGUAACAUGGAGCCUUUCUGGGUUUCCUUGAGGAAACUUUUUUUUUUUUGAGACUGUGAGUUUCGCUCUUGUCGCCCAGGCUGGAGUGCAAUGGCAUGAUCUCAGCUCCCUGCAACCUCUGCCUCCCAGGUUCAAGCCAUUCUUGUGACUCAGCCUCCUGAGUGGCCACCAUGCCUGGCUAAUUUUUGUAUUUUUAGUAGAGACGGGGUUUCACCAUGUUAGCCAGGCUGGUCUCAAACUCCUGACCUCAGGUGAUCCACCUGCCUCAGCCUCCCAAAGUGCUGGGAUUGCAGGCGUGAGUCACCACACCCGGCCCCUGAGGGAACGCUUGAAAUUGCUUUAACACCCAGGCCUCACCCCCUCCCCCACCCCCCGCCCACGAACAGCUUCGUGGACAGUUUACUCAGACCGACUCGAAGGUAAUUUUAAGGUAGUUUUGGGAUAUUACCCAAGUAUGGCCCAGCUGGAAGGUGGACAUCAGGGGGGAGGGCUCAGAAGCACCAAAGUCCAACCUUCUCUACUCACAGAUGGAGAAACUGAGCCCCAGAGAGAGAAGAGUCAGCUGAGACUCCCCCAGAUAAGAUGAUCACCAGAUAUUCUGGGACCUUGCUGGGGACAGACAGCCCUCCCUGCCCGGCAAUGGGCCUUUGGGAUGUGGCACAAGCUCCCGGGAAACCUGGAGUGACAAGGGCGCCUGUCCCUGGGGAGCGGAGAGCGCGGAGUUGGUGCUGAGUCAGCCCUGACGUGGCAGAGGAGGAGCAGGCCCCUGCAGAACCAGGCUGGUCCGGGACAUGGUGCUCUGUUCCUCUCCCAUGUCCGCCCCUGUGAGCGGUCCUGGCUCGCUCUGCCCUGGCCGGCCCCUCCCCAGCAUCUGCUGGCACCACUCACGAAGCCGUUGUCCAUGAUCCGGCACAGGCUCUUCAGUGUCUCCAGGUCCUUGGUGAAGUGGAACUGGACCAGGCGAAACGUCAUCUCCACCGCUCAACCAGCCCAACCCUGGAGUGCUGUGGAAGCCGCUCUCAGAUCCCUUGGCAGCCCCCAAGGUGCAAGUCGUGGCUGCCCCUGCCCCACUCAGUCCCUGCACAGCCACCAGCUGGCUGCCUGGGACCCCUUGGAGCCAGGCCUGAGGACCUACCCACCGCACCUGCUUCAGCACCCUCAGCUCUGCUCCCUCACAGCCAGCUCAGGCCACCCGGGGAGGCACUCUUGCCCCCAGCCCCGCCAUCUGUAAUAGCUACUGCGUGCAGGCUCAAGCACCUGGCCCCAGCCCCUCACCAGCAGCUGCUGUGGGAUGAGCUGCAUGUACAGCUUCCUUGGCCACUGCUCGGUCCUCCUGUGGGGCACAAGGGGACGAGGGUCAGGAAGCCCCAGCUCCCCUGGAUGCUGCCUCCACCCCCUAGCCCAGCACUCACAGGAUCUCCCCCUGGUUCACGUAGACGUGGGAUGGCAGCCACCUCUUGGACCGACUGUUGGGCUCAGGCCUGGGCUUUUGGGGGAGAGGCAAAGAGAAGCCCUCAGGGCUGGAGACCCCCAACCCCAGUGUCCCCUCCCAGCCACAGUCCGUGAGGAUCUGGGGGUCCCAGUUCCCCGGGCUGCCGAGGGCUCACCUCCUGCCACUCCAUGACGCCACUCCAUGCCAGAAACUUGUUGUUGACGAUCUGGACUGGGCCUGAGUUGACACCACCAGGUCCCACUGCCUGUUGGAAGGGAAGGGGGUGGGAAGAGAGGCCCAGGCUCCUGGGAAACCUCUGUUUGUCCUGGGGCCUGCCAUCCCUCCCUCUGAGCCUUGGCCUGUUAGCCGCAGCUGGGUCCAUUCUCUAGCCCCAGGGGAAGAGGCCCUGCCCCUCACCUGCUCACAGCCCCCCAUGGCUCCCCAGUGGCCUGAGACAGGUCCCGGCCCUCACCUGGUGCACAGGACCUGCAGAGUCUGCCUCAACUGGCAAGGCAUGACCAGGACACGUGGUCACUGGGCAGGGCCUUCCAGCCGCACGAUGAUCCCAACCCCUGCCCAGCUCCCCGCUCCACUGGCUUCCCUGCCGCUGCACCAAGACCCACCCUCCAGCCCUUCAGAGCCACCUAGUGGCCGCUUUUCCAUGGAGCCCUGGUGGGAACCCGCCCAGCCUCCUCUGGGCUCCCCUGCAGCUCCUUGCUCCAGCUAUUGCAUCACACUCCGCCCACAUCAAGUCUGGCUGCCCAACCAGGGCAGUGGGGCCUAAUCCCCCUCUGUCCCCAGAGGGGCUGUGCUUGGCUGGCACACCUGCUUGCGGGUGGUGAUGACCUGCCGGAUGGCACUGACGAAGCCACUCUGGUCGUAGGGGAUGAGGCCCAUGAAGAUUUUCUUCUUGGACGAGUACAGGAGCAUGAGCACGCGCACCUCACAGGGGGAGAUGUGGGGGAACAGCAUGCAGCCCGCCUGUGGGGGCCACGGGUCAGGACCCUGUGGGCACUGCCCAGGGGUGCUGUGCCCCCACCACCCUGGACCGCCCCCCCCGUAGGGAAUGAAGGGAGAUCAUCGGCGGACAGAGGCCCCCACAGUCAAGGCCAUGGCCAUAGGUGAGGGGCCUCUGAGAGCCCGUGCAGCGCCUAUCGGCAUCCUCUGACCCCGCCGUGGCUGAAGUCAGAGUGGCACCCAGCACCCAGGCUGCGGUGAGAAUGCCGAGAAGGCACCACCUCCCGCCCACCUCACCCUCUGCCGCCAGCCCUCCUGACUGCCUGAUGGGGUGACCUGGCCUGGGGGUUAAGAGCACAGGCAGCGCCCCACCGUUCUGCUGCCUCCUAGCUGUGUGACCUAACACCAGCCACCUCCUGCUUCUGGGCCUCCAUCAUCUGUAAAACCGGGUAAUAGUGCACACAGCUGGUGCCACAUAAAGGCUCAACAGAUAAA